rnacentral:pre_miRNA from 1 species
GAACUGGAAAUGAGGCAGUCCAGCUGGAUUCCAGCUGGGUCCAGCUGGGUCCAGCUGGAAUCCAGCUGGACUGCCUCAUUUUCAG